rnacentral:misc_RNA from 1 species
GGACGCAGUUGACCACCUUGCAAACACCCACCAUCCCACAGGCCCCGACGCCAACGGCGUAAACCUCACAGCCGGUUACCGGACUCCGUUGCCAGGAUGACAUCCCUUCAAAAGCGUGCUACACGCUGCGACACGCCACACCAAGAGCUACUUAGCAGCAGCCAUCCCACACCGGAAGAGCACGGAAGCUGCGCUUGCGAGGCGACGGGAGACCAUGCUCGCCCAGUUCCGCACCGGCACCUGUCGGUGCCGUGCAUUACUGCAACGGCGGGUGGCUGGCAGUGGCGGCAUGGGGUGCCGAUGGUGUGCUGCCUACUGCUGCGCCGGUACUGUGGUGCCCCCAUCCCCCGUCUGUGUUUGCUAUGAGGGCGUCCGACCCGGUGCUGUGCCCGAUAUGCUACGCUUGAUUCGCGGAUCACUCGAGGAGGGUGGGCGAAGCACACGCUGUUUCACGCUAUGGCCUUGCACGCAGUAAUGUGGUUGCGCAUGCCUCGCUCGCGCCGCGUGGGCUCCUCACCUGUCUGCUGUCUAUGGCUGCCUCGUAUGCCCUCUCAGGAGGACAGGCCGUGCGCUCUUUCUCUCUCUGCGCUGGCGCGUGCCUAUCCACGGGUCCCUCCCGCUCAACCCGCCCGCGCCUACGAGAGGCGUGCGGCCCUGCGGAAAGGGUGGAAGACCCCCGCUGCCACGAACUCACAGCAGCGUCCCGCCUGCCGCGGUGCAUGCGUGCAGGCCACCCAGUCACGCCCCCUCCCCCUCCAGACACCGAGGUUGUCGUGCGGCAGGCCUCGGCGUGCAAGGAUGCGAGCUCGGAGCACAGGCGCUGUCAUGGAGAGCCGGCAUGGCGUAUCACGCCCACGCAAGGCAUCGAGAGGUCAGCCGCGCACGCGUGAUGGACGAGAAAGGCGCGAGGAGCUCCACACCAAUGAGCGCCACAGCGCAUACGCGCGCAACAUGCGGCGUCUCGGCCGUCCAACGGGGCGGGCUGAUGGGGCGCAGGUGCUGGAAGCGCGGCGAGAGCACCCCCGAACGGCACGAUCGAGCCCCUCCGACUGCCAUGCGGAGAGUCACCGCACCAUAUUAUGGGAUGCCGCUGCUGCAAGCGACUGGAGGGGGGAGGCAUGACGUGCAGGUGGCAGGGUGCAGGGUCUCGGAGGGCGCUGACCUGAGGCCGGCCGCCUUCCUCCUCGAGCUCCUGCGGCGCACACCUCGACCACCCCUUAUCGCCCGCACGACGGACGCCACCGCCUCCGCCCUCGAGCAGGACGCUGGGCGCGGCCCGCCUGGAUCAGGGCGUGCCGUCCAGCCGAGUCUCCGUGUGGGCCGAUUGGACGGCGGGCCGGCUUGUCCUAGUCGACAAGGAUUCCGCCGCACCCCUGCGAGGGUAGGUGAGCUGUGGUUGUGUGCGUCGAUCGGCUGACCUGUGUCUGGACGAAUGAGCAGGCUGCGCAGGCGAAGAGAGUGCAGUGGGCGUUGCGGUGUGCGUGGGAGAGCGCUCUCGACUCCUCUCACUCGUUGUCUUGUGCUAUCGUGCGGCCCUCUCUUGCACACGCGCGUCGGUGUCUCUGCAACGCAGCGUCUCUGUGGGCUCUUUUGUUGUUGUGUGUUCGCCGCUGCUGUGACGUCAUCGGGGCAUUGCUCUGUUGUGGCGCCUGCUCUUGUGCUUCUAGGUGUUUCCCUCUCUAUUUCGUUCUCCUUGUUGUGGUGUUCGCUUUUGGCGCGGCUCUGUAGCUCGAUUUUGGGCGAGGGAAGCGAAUUCAAUGGAAGAGGAAAGGACGCGAGAGGAAGAGGCGGGCCCCACAUUGUUGAGGGAACGUUGACGGAGUCACGGUGCACGCGCCGUGAACUGUACAUCGCUGUGCACAGAGCCUUUAGGCGAAUCGACCGGCUCUCAUGAGCAUUGGUCGGAUUGAUUGGUAUCACGUGCCACGAGUGCCUCGCUGUACUCUGUUUAUGCCGCGUCUCCUGGCAGUGCGACGGCUAUAUAUGCUGGUGUCGCCGGAUGCCCUCAGCCGUGUGUGCGAUUACGACCUGAAGCGAGAGAUGCAGUUCAGGAAAGGCGCUGUAGAGGGGCUACGCACGGCAUGCAGCCGCGCUGUCUUACACAGUUGCAAGUGACUGUUCUCGCUCGAAUCAUCAGUGGUGGUCUGGCGCUUUCUGCUAUCGUCUUGUCUGCUGCUACUGCCUUAGCGGGCACCUUCACCGGUGGCUGCGAAAGAAAGGAAGGACAUCGAAGAGGUGACGGCGUGGGCGGGCGCAGCCGGUGUUCUCGUGUUCACUCUUUGCCUACGAUGGCUGACGUAGCGGGCGCAGGGAUGGCGGCUCAUCAUCAUUUCUCUCCCUCUCUCUGUGUCUUGCAUGCUUUGGCACUUGUCUUUGCAGGUUGCCGAGGGCGGCGCUGCAUCAGCAAAAGGAUCCGCAGCAGUGGCACAACAGUGGCGAAGGGGAGAGCGGGAACCACGAAAAAAAGAAAAGGCAACGGAAGGGAGCACGAUAUUCAUGCCCGCACCUCGGCUACAAGGGCGCAGCGUGAUGCUCGCAUUCGUCGUUCUGUAGCAUGUGUGUCGGGAAGUAGCUGCUUGCCCAUAGUACGUUCGCGCGUGCGCUUUUUCUAUGUUGAAGGAUACAUGCGCAGCACUGCGCGCCGCGUUGGGGGAAAGUGAAGAGAGAGAAUGGAGAGGAGCAGCGACGCUUCCCUCGCACCCCUCUACUCUCCGCAAGUCUUGCCUCGCCGUCUCUUUCCGCGACGAGCACCACACCCCCACCCCCGCUGAUCUCGUAGUGAGUAGUCGCUUCACAAGCUCAUAACUCUCACGGCUCUCUCUAUCUCUUUCUCCCUCGCAUUCACUCUCUCUGAGCACCGGCCCAUUCUCCUCGCAG